rnacentral:rRNA from 1 species
AUUGAACGCUGGCGGCAGGCCUAACACAUGCAAGUCGAACGAGUGGCGGACGGGUGAGUAAUGUCUGGGAAACUGCCUGAUGGAGGGGGAUAACUACUGGAAACGGUAGCUAAUACCGCAUACCAUCGGAUGUGCCUAGAUGGGAUUAGCUAGUGGGUGGGGUAAAGGCUCACCGGGGCGACGAUCCCUAGCUGGUCUGAGAGGAUGACCAGCCACACUGGAACGGAGACACGGUCCAGACUCCUACGGGGGGCAGCAGUGGGGAAUAUUGCACAAUGGGCGAAAGCCUGAGGCAGCCAUGCCGGGUGUAUGAAGAAGGCCUUCGGGUUGUAAAGUACUUUCAGCGGGGAGGCGUUACCCGCAGAAGAAGCACCGGCUAACUCCGUGCCAGCAGCCGCGGUAAUAC